rnacentral:rRNA from 1 species
CGCGUAGGUAGUUGCGUCAGUCGGAUGUGAAAUCCCCAGGCUUAACCUGGGAACUGCAUCUGAUACUGCGUGACUCGAGUGCAGCAGAGGGAAACGGAAUUCCUGGUGUAGAGGUGAAAUUCGUAGAUAUCAGGAGGAACACCGGUGGCGAAGGCGGUUUCCUGGGCUGACACUGACACUGAGGCGCGAAAGCGUGGGUAGCAAACAGGAUUAGAUACCCUGGUAGUCCACGCUGUAAACGGUGAGUACUGGGUGUGGGAGGUGUAAUGCCUUCUGUGCCGAAGCUAACGCGUUAAGUACUCCGCCUGGGGAGUACGGCCGCAAGGUUGAA